AUUCUCCUCUGAAUCUAAGGUUCAAAUUUUCCAAAUUUAAAGAUCUAAAUUGAAAAAAUCAAAUGAAUGACUCUCAAUUAAUUGGCUUAUGCUUUUAUUUACAGGAAAGAUCCAAAAGCCAACCAGCUUCACCACCAAUCAUAUUGCAUUGUAAUUGAAAUUUAAGAUCUUUUUGCUUCAUUAGAGUCGCCGAAGUCGCCGGAGAUUGUCUGUUGCUCCGGCAUCUAUCUCGGCAGCUUUUGCAGUGCAACUAAGCUUUGGCUUGACUGAAAACUUAGGCAAAGGUAAGCUACUCAGUGGUGGAGAUAGUGUAAAAAUCGAACCAGUAAGACUUUCCAAAUCUUUGACACCAAGAGUAUUAUUAAUAUUAACAGCAACAUCAAUACUUGUAAGGAAAGAAGAAGAUGAUGACAAAAAUUUAGAAACGCGUUUGGGUAGAUCGUUAGAAUCUGGUCUAGAUGGUACAGUGGACGUACUGAUCAAAGACUUCAAAUUUUGUUUUGGUUCUUCUUUUCUGCAGAUGGGCUGUUUUGAUUUAUUUGGAGUGAAAGAGUGAUCUUUGGUUUAGUUUGUUUUUCUAGGAGUUUGUGAGUGGGCAAGAAAGAUCUUAGUUCGAGAAUUAAGUGAUCUUAUUAUUGAGACUGGAAAAGGAAGAAGAGGCGGUUGUUUUCCUUGCCUUUGUUGGCUAGGAUAGAACAUAAAUGGCUUUUAUUUUUUGACUAUUACUUUUCUUUUGGUUUUACUGUGAAAUGGUACUUUUUUCCUUUUUUUUUUUUUACUUUAUAUGGGUCCUAUUUCUGAUAAAAAUAAUGCCACAUCAUAUUUGACAAACGACAUUUUAUUUCAAAUAUUGACACCGUUAAGAGAGGAGUUUCAAUAACCUAUUUUAUUGCAAUUCUUAAAAAUUUGUUCUAAAAAUUAGUUAAGGGGCUUAUCUAUCUCUUGGAGUAAAACAUUAGGGGCCAAAAUGCACCUUUGCCCUAAUUUUAAUUUAAAAUUGUUCAUCCCCACACAGACAUAUACACUGCAAGUUAAAAAAGGUACACAUAAUUUUUUCAGUUCAUCUUUUUCGCGAGAGCCUGUUCUUGGAUACAUAUAUCAGCCGGGAAAUGCCACGUAUACAUGCGACUAACUGAAGAAAUUUACCUUACUCUACCCAACAGGUAUGUUAUGUAUAAAUCCCAUUCCAUUUCUUGAAUGUUAAGAAAAACACACAAGAACUCCACGUCAAAGUUCUAAGUAUCUCUCAGCAUCCAUUUCUUCCAGGUCUUGCACCCAGCGGCAGAGCUCGUGCGAUCUUCACCUAGCGAUGUACUGCAGAAUUCAGUGUGGAUACAUCAUACAAUCGGCUAUCUUGCGCUCAAUGUUAUAUUAUUUUUAUUUAAAUUAUCAUCAUUAAACAAUUUUAACUUAGAUAAAGUUUAUAUUUUAGAUUUAAA
rnacentral:lncRNA from 1 species